CUUGACAUGGCAGGAAUCCCCGAGAGAUUGGGGAGUGCUCGAAAGAGAACCUGCACACAGGUGCUGCAUGGCUGUCGUCAGCUCGUGUCGUGAGAUGUUGGGUUAAGUCCCGCAACGAGCGCAACCCUUGUCAUUAGUUGCUACGAAAGGGCACUCUAAUGAGACUGCCGGUGACAAACCGGAGGAAGGUGGGGAUGACGUCAAGUCCUCAUGGCCCUUAUGGGUAG
rnacentral:rRNA from 1 species